CGGAGGGUGCAAGCGUUAUCCGGAUUUACUGGGUUUAAAGGGUGUGUAGGCGGGUUAUUAAGUCAGUGGUGAAAUCUCCGAGCUUAACUUGGAAACUGCCAUUGAUACUAUUAGCCUUGAAUUUUGUUGAGGUAGGCGGAAUAAGUCAUGUAGCGGUGAAAUGCAUAGAUAUGACUUAGAACACCAAUUGCGAAGGCAGCUUGCUAAACAAAUAUUGACGCUGAGGCACGAAAGCGUGGGGAUCAAACAGGAUUAGAUACCCUGGUAGUCCACGCCCUAAACGAUGAUUACUCGACAUACGCGAUACACAGUGUGUGUCUGAGCGAAAGCAUUAAGUAAUCCACCUGGGAAGUACGACCGCAAGGUUG
rnacentral:rRNA from 1 species